GAUAAACGCUGGCGGCGUGCCUAAUACAUGCAAGUCGAGCGAACGGACGAGAAGCUUGCUUCUCUGAUGUUAGCGGCGGACGGGUGAGUAACACGUGGAUAACCUACCUAUAAGACUGGGAUAACUUCGGGAACCCGGAGCUAAUACCGGAUAAUAUUUUGAACCGCAUGGUUCAAAAGUGAAAGACGGUCUUGCUGUCACUUAUAGAUGGAUCCGCGCUGCAUUAGCUAGUUGGUAAGGUAACGGCUUACCAAGGCAACGAUGCAUAGCCGACCUGAGAGGGUGAUCGGCCACACUGGAACUGAGACACGGUCCAGACUCCUACGGGAGGCAGCAGUAGGGAAUCUUCCGCAAUGGGCGAAAGCCUGACGGAGCAACGCCGCGUGAGUGAUGAAGGUCUUCGGAUCGUAAAACUCUGUUAUUAGGGAAGAACAUAUGUGUAAGUAACUGUGCACAUCUUGACGGUACCUAAUCAGAAAGCCACGGCUAACUACGUGCCAGCAGCCGCGGUAAUACGUAGGUGGCAAGCGUUAUCCGGAAUUAUUGGGCGUAAAGCGCGCGUAGGCGGUUUUUUAAGUCUGAUGUGAAAGCCCACGGCUCAACCGUGGAGGGUCAUUGGAAACUGGAAAACUUGAGUGCAGAAGAGGAAAGUGGAAUUCCAUGUGUAGCGGUGAAAUGCGCAGAGAUAUGGAGGAACACCAGUGGCGAAGGCGACUUUCUGGUCUGUAACUGACGCUGAUGUGCGAAAGCGUGGGGAUCAAACAGGAUUAGAUACCCUGGUAGUCCACGCCGUAAACGAUGAGUGCUAAGUGUUAGGGGGUUUCCGCCCCUUAGUGCUGCAGCUAACGCAUUAAGCACUCCGCCUGGGGAGUACGACCGCAAGGUUGAAACUCAAAGGAAUUGACGGGGACCCACACAAGCGGUGGAGCAUGUGGUUUAAUUCGAAGCAACGCGAAGAACCUUACCAAAUCUUGACAUCCUUUGACAACUCUAGAGAUAGAGCCUUCCCCUUCGGGGGACAAAGUGACAGGUGGUGCAUGGUUGUCGUCAGCUCGUGUCGUGAGAUGUUGGGUUAAGUCCCGCAACGAGCGCAACCCUUAAGCUUAGUUGCCAUCAUUAAGUUGGGCACUCUAAGUUGACUGCCGGUGACAAACCGGAGGAAGGUGGGGAUGACGUCAAAUCAUCAUGCCCCUUAUGAUUUGGGCUACACACGUGCUACAAUGGACAAUACAAAGGGCAGCGAAACCGCGAGGUCAAGCAAAUCCCAUAAAGUUGUUCUCAGUUCGGAUUGUAGUCUGCAACUCGACUACAUGAAGCUGGAAUCGCUAGUAAUCGUAGAUCAGCAUGCUACGGUGAAUACGUUCCCGGGUCU
rnacentral:rRNA from 1 species